rnacentral:rRNA from 1 species
AGCAGUAGGGAAUCUUCCAAUGGACGAAAGUCUGACCGAGCAACGCCGCGUGAGUGAAGAAGGUUUUCGGAUCGUAAAACUCUGUUGUUAGAGAAGAACAAGGAUGAGAGUAACUGUUCAUCCCUUGACGGUAUCUAACCAGAAAGCCACGGCUAACUACGUGCCAGCAGCCGCGGUAAUACGUAGGUGGCAAGCGUUGUCCGGAUUUAUUGGGCGUAAAGCGAGCGCAGGCGGUUUCUUAAGUCUGAUGUGAAAGCCCCCGGCUCAACCGGGGAGGGUCAUUGGAAACUGGGAGACUUGA